rnacentral:rRNA from 1 species
GACGAACGCUGGCGGCGUGCUUAACACAUGCAAGUCGAACGGAAAGGCCCUGCUUUUGUGGGGUGCUCGAGUGGCGAACGGGUGAGUAACACGUGAGUAACCUGCCCUUGACUUUGGGAUAACUUCAGGAAACUGGGGCUAAUACCGGAUAGGAGCUCCUGCUGCAUGGGGGGGGGUGGAAAGUUUCGGCGGUUGGGGAUGGACUCGCGGCUUAUCAGCUUGGUGGUGGGGUAGUGGCUUACCAAGGCUUUGACGGGUAGCCGGCCUGAGAGGGUGACCGGCCACAUUGGGACUGAGAUACGGCCCAGACUCCUACGGGAGGCAGCAGUGGGGAAUAUUGCACAAUGGGCGGAAGCCUGAUGCAGCAACGCCGCGUGCGGGAUGACGGCCUUCGGGUUGUAAACCGCUUUCGCCUGUGACGAAGCGUGAGUGACGGUAAUGGGUAAAGAAGCACCGGCUAACUACGUG